AGUGAACGCUGGCGGUAGGCCUAACACAUGCAAGUCGAACGGCAGCACAGUAAGAGCUUGCUCUUACGGGUGGCGAGUGGCGGACGGGUGAGGAAUACAUCGGAAUCUACUUUUUCCUGGGGGAUAACGUAGGGAAACUUACGCUAAUACCGCAUACGACCUACGGGUGAAAGCAGGGGAUCUUCGGACCUUGCGCGAUUGAAUGAGCCGAUGUCGGAUUAGCUAGUUGGCGGGGUAAAGGCCCACCAAGGCGACGAUCCGUAGCUGGUCUGAGAGGAUGGUCAGCCACACUGGAACUGAGACACGGUCCAGACUCCUACGGGAGGCAGCAGUGGGGAAUAUUGGACAAUGGGCGCAAGCCUGAUCCAGCCAUACCGCGUGGGUGAAGAAGGCCUUCGGGUUGUAAAGCCCUUUUGUUGGGAAAGAAAAGCAGCAGGUUAAUACCCCGCUGUUCUGACGGUACCCAAAGAAUAAGCACCGGCUAACUUCGUG
rnacentral:rRNA from 1 species